UUAUUAUUUUAGAUAUGGCUAUCAUAGAACCUGCUUGAAACGAUCAAUUUGUGAGUUGUCAAAACAUCCUUUCGAUGAGAGCUUUGCGAAUAUAGUCACAGAUAUGGUAAAAUUCCUUUUAACGCCUUCCAUACACCAAGGUUUUUCACCAAAUGAAAAAUAUGAAGAAACUAUUUAUAGGUUGGCUGAAAAUCAAGGAUUUAUGGGUGAAAAUUGUCAACAACUAUAUCCACAAUGCAUCGACAGUCUAUUUAAUUUUUUAACAAUAACUGAUUUUAUGAAUAUUUAAAUAAACAUACAUACAUA